rnacentral:rRNA from 1 species
UCUAUAAUGCAGUCGAGCGGACAGAAGGGAGCUUGCUCCCGGAUGUUAGCGGCGGACGGGUGAGUAACACGUGGGUAACCUGCCUGUAAGACUGGGAUAACUCCGGGAAACCGGAGCUAAUACCGGAUAGUUCCUUGAACCGCAUGGUUCAAGGAUGAAAGACGGUUUCGGCUGUCACUUACAGAUGGACCCGCGGCGCAUUAGCUAGUUGGUGAGGUAACGGCUCACCAAGGCGACGAUGCGUAGCCGACCUGAGAGGGUGAUCGGCCACACUGGGACUGAGACACGGCCCAGACUCCUACGGGAGGCAGCAGUAGGGAAUCUUCCGCAAUGGACGAAAGUCUGACGGAGCAACGCCGCGUGAGUGAUGAAGGUUUUCGGAUCGUAAAGCUCUGUUGUUAGGGAAGAACAAGUGCAAGAGUAACUGCUUGCACCUUGACGGUACCUAACCAGAAAGCCACGGCUAACUACGUGCCAGCAGCCGCGGUAAUACGUAGGUGGCAAGCGUUGUCCGGAAUUAUUGGGCGUAAAGGGCUCGCAGGCGGUUUCUUAAGUCUGAUGUGAAAGCCCCCGGCUCAACCGGGGAGGGUCAUUGGAAACUGGGAAACUUGAGUGCAGAAGAGGAGAGUGGAAUUCCACGUGUAGCGGUGAAAUGCGUAGAGAUGUGGAGGAACACCAGUGGCGAAGGCGACUCUCUGGUCUGUAACUGACGCUGAGGAGCGAAAGCGUGGGGAGCGAACAGGAUUAGAUACCCUGGUAGUCCACGCCGUAAACGAUGAGUGCUAAGUG